rnacentral:rRNA from 1 species
GGACGAACGCUGGCGGCGUGCCUGACACAUGCAAGUCGAGCGAGGAGAUUCCUCGGGAUGAUCCUAGCGGCGGACGGGUGAGUAACACGUGGGCAACCUGCCUCAUAGAGAGGAAUAGCCUUCCGAAAGGGAGAUUAAUACCUCAUAACAUUGCAGUUUCGCAUGGAACAGCAAUUAAAGGAGUAAUCCGCUAUGAGAUGGGCCCGCGGCGCAUUAGCUAGUUGGUGAGGUAACGGCUCACCAAGGCGACGAUGCGUAGCCGACCUGAGAGGGUGAUCGGCCACAUUGGGACUGAGACACGGCCCAGACUCCUACGGGAGGCAGCAGUGGGGAAUAUUGCACAAUGGGGGAAACCCUGAUGCAGCCAACGCCGCGUGAGUGAUGACGGCCUUCGGGUUGUAAAGCUCUGUCUUCAGGGACGAUAAUGACGGUACCUGAGGAGGAAGCCACGGCUAACUACGUGCCAGCAGCAGC